GACGAACGCUGGCGGCGUGCCUAAUACAUGCAAGUCGAACGCAGUGGGGACGGGUGAGUAACACGUGGGUAACCUCCCAUCAGAGGGGAUAACACUUGGAAACAGGUGCUAAACCGAUACUGAUGGAUGGACCCGCGGUGCAUUAGCUAGUUGGUGAGGUAACGGCAAACCAGGGCCACGAUGCAUAGCGGACCGGGGAGGGGGACCGGCCACACUGGAAGUGAGAAACGUCCCAGACUCCUACGGAAGGCAGCAGUGGGAAAUCUUCGGAAAUGGACGAAAGUCUGACCGAGCAACGCCGCGUGAGUGAAGAGGGUUUUCGGAUCGUAAAACUCUGUUGUUAGAGAAGCGGUAUCUAACCAGAAAGCCACGGCUAACUACGUGCCAGCCGCCGGGUAAUAC
rnacentral:rRNA from 1 species